GCACUGCUGAUGAGUCCCAAACAAGACGAAACAACUGUCCAGUGC
rfam:Echinostoma caproni strain Egypt genome assembly, scaffold: ECPE_scaffold0003426